rnacentral:rRNA from 1 species
UACGAAGGGUGCGAGCGUUGCUCGGAAUUAUUGGGCGUAAAGGGCAGGUAGGUGGUCUCAUUUGUCUAGGGUGAAAGCCUUGAGCUUAACUCAAGAAGUGCCCUAGAAACGGUGGGACUCGAGUUCCAGAGAGGUGAGUGGAAUUCCCGGCGUAGCGGUGAAAUGCGUAGAUAUCGGGAGGAACACCAAUGGCGAAGGCAGCUUGCUGGGACGGUACUGACGCUGAGGCGCGAAAGCGUGGGGAGCAAACAGG